UAUGGAUACCUUAGGUAACAUGGCAAGGGAGAAUUGAAGUGGCAGAUCACUUGCCCUUGAGAUGGGAAGAUUAUCCUGGCUUUUCCAGACAGACCCAAUGCAAUCAAACUGUGCUUAGAAGUAGAAGAAAGAGGCAGAGGGAAACUGAAGAGAUGACAUCCUUAGAGAUAUGUUGCUUUAACGAUGGAAGAAUGGGCCACUAGUGAAAGAAUGUGGGAGGUUGGCCUCUAAAAGCUAGAAAGGGUAACAAAAAGGAUCCUACUUCAGAGCCUACAAAAAGAAGGAAGACUUGCUAACAGCUUGAUGUUUGCCUAGGAAUACCCACUUUGGACUUCUGACCUCCAGAACAUUCAGCUGCCACGAACCUGCCAUGGGUCAUGGUGUCUGUUGAGAGACAUGGAGCUGAAACAGCCUGAGGAUUGCAGGCAUGAACACAGUUUUCCGACCUACACACUUCGGGGAUGCUAUAAACUGUGAAGAUCUCCCACACACGAGCACCCUCUUCUAAACAUUUGGUGGGCCUUGCAGCUAUUUUUGUUUGUUUGUUUGCUCCAAUUGUAUCCCAAACUUCCAUUUAAUUUGCAAUAUACCAAAUCUUCCAACCUUAGUCUUUUUUUAAGGAAGUUACCAUGUGGCAAAAACUUUAAACUGAAGGUGUUCUUCAAAAUUCUUAAAAUAUUUUAUUUCAUGUAAAAAAUAAAAUAAAAUAAAACUC